AACCCAAUUUUGUUUUCUAGAAGUAAAGGUCCCCUUAGAAUAGUGCAGCCUCAUUAAAUGAAUUUGCCAAAACUCCCAACUAACUUUCAAAAGUCAGAAUUAGUGCGCUCCAUUUAGAUAAAAUGGAUGAAGGCUUAGGCUGUCCAGCGCCACCAUAUCGCUAUAAAAGGAUGAAAACUGAGUCGUCCAUCUCGAGGAAAACAAUAAAAACUUAUUCAUCCAAAAGUCGCGGUAACGCGGUGAGUGCCGCUACGAGAGUCGGCUCACCAUGUGAUGAAGACCGAAACCGUAAUGGCAAGCGCGAACCCUAAUUCUCUGGCUAUGGAUUAGUGGCCCAGCCUCGCUCGCUCGCGCCGCGGGUGGAGGAGACCAGGUAUCUUAUCUGGGGAUGGGCCUCGGACCAUGAAGGCGCAGGCGAGGGAUCCACAUGGUUGGACACCUCAUGCUAUCCAAAACACCGAGUGCGGGUUUGCCUUUUCAGUAGCAUAUUCGACAGAGGUGAAGUUUUCGAUUCCUUUUUUCUUCUUGUAUCAGCAGAAUGUGCUUUUCGUCUAUCCAGGAUCUUUAGCGCCGGAAUGAGGAGCUCCUACUGGGCUUUUCAAUGCCCCCCCCCCCCCCGCGAGGCUCGCCACACAACUUGGAUGACGUGAGGGCCUUAUCCACACCAGGGAGUGGCCGCGCCGUGAGAGAGGCUGGCCCCGCUUCGAUCAUAACCCAGCGCAGCAGCAGCGCCGUGAGGUGCUGGCUUCCUUUUGGAGUGAGUUCGCCGCAGAAGAAAAUGACGAAGAAGAAGGAAGAAGACGAAGCCAAACGACAGAGCUUUAGGGUUGCGUUGUCGCAUUGUGCUUACAGCUUGAGGAGGUCACAUGGAAUGGGAUGAUUUGGGCAAGUGACUUGGGUUUGGGGGACGCCAACAAAGCACCCACAAUCAUUGAACUAUUGUUUUGCAUGUGAAGGGGAUUGAUUGCACUCCAGCUACCUUUUGCUCUUUCAUUCACCGAGAGAGAUAUAUGUAUAUAUAUAUAUAUAUAUAUAUUCAUCUGAACUUAAAAACAAAGCAAAAAAUUAUGAUUUCUUAUCAAUAACAAGACAUGCAGAAAAUUUAUAGUUUAUUAACCUUCCUCUGACACUUCCAUCUUAUGUUGAAGUUGUUUGUGUGCCCUACUGAUGACAUAUUAUGGUGCCUUUUCAAACCACACACAAGUGACACCUGCCUUGGGUCUCAAAGAACGACAAUUUAUCUAAGAUCUUGUGGAAAUAAAAUGCAUUGCUGCACUGCACAUUUACAACUGAA